UCUUCCGUAGUACAGUGGUUAGUGUGGGGGCUUGUCAGCAAUCUUGCAACCCGCCCUUGACCUGGGUUCGAAUCCCGGGUGGGAGAU